GUGAAGUAAAUGUACAGCUACGUCAUUUACAUGCGCAACCGACGGUUCUUUAAAACUACAAACAAAACGUUCUUUUUGACAUUACUUUCAUCCUGUUGUUGGACACGUAACUAAUGUGUGCCUUCACGAUUUUAUUCAAAUAAAGGCAGCAAGAUAUUGAAAUAAAACCGGUUUACCGUCUCCUGCCGCUCGUGCGCGUGCCUAACAACCACAACUCACCUGAGCGCGGGAGUGUCGCGCUGUUACCACGACAACCACCUGGGGGGGUCGUCACAUGAUGAAAAGUAUCGCGUGAGGUGACGGCCAAGAAAAAAAUCGGUAUAUAAUAUGGAUAGAAAUUCCCGAUUAGGACGAACAGAUCUUUUUAGGCUGUUUAUUUUUUUGAGAUGUUGUACUGUACGUCAACAGGUGAGAUCCUCUGACGUCAUGUGACAGAUGGAGGCUUGCGGAUCAGUCCCACGUCAAGCAUAAAUGGCAUGUGGUGCUUUGUUGUGGUGAUUGGAGGUGACAGUGGACUGAGAAGAUGCGUCUCUUUAAUGAAACUGUCUUUCAAAAGAUGAAACUGACGCCGCUCAUCACAGAAGCUUCUUAAGCAGCCCGUCUCCUCCUUCCUCCCUCUCUCUCUCUCUCUCUCU